GGUGGCUCAGUGCUAGAGCGCUUGCCUUGCAUGCAUGAGGUCCUGGGUUCGAUUCCUCAGCACCA
rnacentral:tRNA from 1 species